UACGUAGGUGACAAGCGUUGUCCGGAUUUACUGGGCGUAAAGAGCGCGCAGGCGGUCGAUCAAGUCGAGUGUGAAAGCCCCCGGCUCAACUGGGGAGGGUCAUUCGAUACUGAUCGACUCGAAGGCAGGAGAGGGUAGUGGAAUUCCCGGUGUAGUGGUGAAAUGCGUAGAUAUCGGGAGGAACACCCAGGGGGAAACCAGUGGACUGGCACGGUGCUGACACUCAUGUGCGAAAGCGUGGGGAGCGAACCGG
rnacentral:rRNA from 1 species